GUGGGGAGGAGGCUAGCCACGCAGACAGCCUGCUGCUAGGUGUGCCGUGGAACCGCGGAGCUAAUUACAGAUCUGGUCACCACCAUGCUGAGCGCCAGGGAGGAGGGAAUGGGGAGACACUAAGCCCACGAGACAGGAACACAGUGCCUGGUGAAACAGAGCCAGCCAGUGCUGAUGCAAGUAUUGACUGAGUUCAUAACCUGAUCUGCCCGUGGGAGGGGGAAUAUUUGACAGAACGCAUCAGCCGAGGGUGGUGAGCUAGGCACUGGGAGAGUGAGCAAGACAGGACCAAGCGGGGACGCCCUCGGCCACGACUGCCUUCUCUCAGGGUCUUCCCACCCUGAUGAUCCCGAGGAACCCAAUGUGCCCCCUAUGGCAAUUCCGUCUGUUUCCAACUCCUCAUUGGCUUCAUGUGGGCUUCCCGGGCUCAUUGCUCAUCUGCGUGGAAUCUGCUGAAGCCACAGCACUGAGCUGAAGCUCACUGGUUCUUGAAUGUCACUAGCUGCUCCUGUCCCUGGGCCAUUCAAUGUCAGUGUCCGCCCUGUGGCUCUUCCUUGCUUUCUAGCUGCCAAUCAGCCGCUUCCCGUCUUCUUCUCUUCAGUCCUCUCUCCCUUCCCCAGUGCACCUUAAACCCUUCUGGCUGCACUGAUGGGCUCUCCUUUCUAGCAUUUCUGUCUGAUCUCUGACCCUAACCCUGUCCUGGCCUGGGAGUGCCCUGAGAUCCUGACUGCCCUUCUUGGCUCCCAGGCAGGGCUCAGUCCCAGGAGAUGGGCCUUAGGAGGUGCAGACUCCUGCUGGGCCCACUCAGCAUUUGCCACAGCAGGUAGGCAGGCAGUCACAUGGUCACAUGGCCCAUCCCAAAUCUCUACAUCACAACCCAGAUUUUCUCCAUUAAGGGUAUUGAUUUCCUCGGCUGAACUGCUGGGAUCAAAGGCAGCCUUGGCAACUCGGCAGUUCAUUAAGUCCCAGCUGUCCCAGGGGACUGGCCUGGUGGAUAAACAUGUGAGCAGGAGGCCAUGCUGGGACCUUGAGGGCAGCCUGCUGCCAGGAGUGCUCAGGCUGGACCUGGGCAGGGCAGCAGGAAGGGCAGACCUCAGGCUGCCUUUUUGUCCCCUCCCUCCAGGAACUGGGCUUUGGGGCCCUCCCCAGGGCCUGCAGGAACCAUAUGGGGAUACUGCACCUGUUCCCACCCUGCUCCUGCCAUUUUCCUACCUGCCCUCCCACCAGAUACCUGCCAGGCCUUGUGCUGGGCACUGAAGAUGCAGAGCUUCCUAAGCCUCUAACCCCACCCUCAAGGAGCUCCCACUCCAGUGAGGAAGGCAGACCCCAUACCAUAGCGUUACCAGGCUGCGUACUAACAUCUGAUCGUCAGAACCAUUCCCAACUCAGAGAUUAAGUGUGAUAGGCAGCCUGUUUCAACCAGAGCAUUUCUUCUAGAUUUUUGUUCUUGCUUUUCAAAGUGACUCAUUGGAAAAAUUUUGGGCGAUACAGACCCUGAAGCACAAAGUAGAACAUGAAAUUUACACUAAUCAAGGCUGUUGGUUUUUUCAACUUCCCUUCCCUCUGCCUGAUCUGGAGACUGAGGUAAUUGCUGAAGGAUUUUUGCUUCAAACAGGCUCUUGUUUGCAUCAAGUGUGGGGUGCAGCAAAGUGGACUCGGGACUGGCCGAUGUCUGGCCAGAAAUGCCAGGCAAGGGAAACAGUGACUCUCGUGGGGUCAGGAGAGGGGCAUCUGCUGGCCCAGGAGCGCAAGGCAGAGGAGUGAGUCUUUCUGAGGUCGGUAUCAGGUCCAUUCAUUUGCUCUAAUGUAAGCCUUCUUGGGCAGGAACCAUCUUCCCCUUCUCUAAUCAUCGAGGAAAGGGGCCUUCAGACCUGCGCUGGCCUGGGCCAAGAUGAGGGAUUCUAAUUUCAUUGUCAGUGUCUUGAUGUUUCAGGAGCUCAUGGCACUUGAAAAUAUGGGCUUUGCAUCAUGCAGGUGAGGCGACUCUGAGGCAGGAGGUCCAAGUUUGCUGGACAAUGGCAGAAACAGAAUUCAAAAACACCUGUCUUCUAGGAGAAGUUCUGGUCUCUCCUCGGUGCUGUGGCUGCCCCAGGAAGAGCUUCCAGGAGCUGACAAGCAUUCAGAUGAGUAAAGAUGGGAUCAGAUUGAGAAAAGAAGAAGGGAGAGCAUAUUCAUUCUCUUUCCACUUCCCUCCCACAGCCUUUCAUGCUGAUCUCAUCUGAGGAGGCUGCCUCCUCCUCCCUGGACUCUACAAGCCCCUGUCAUGGUCAGCGGCAAUGUUGUCCACAGUGGGUGGCCAGCCUUGAUCUAGCAGUAAAGGAUGGAUUCUGUUAUUUCAGUGAUGUGGGGCUCAGGGUAAUGAAAAUGAUCAUCAAAAAGCAAAAGUAAAGCUGUCCUCACAGGGUUAACAAGAAUUCUGGGCAGAAAUACGGCUAUAAUUAGGCAUUAAUCAGGCUGCACUUUAACCCACUUCCUUGUAACUGACAGACACGGUAGGACUAGAUACUGGCCGUUUGCAUCCCUAAUGUUCCUAUAGAUGGGAUUUCUGAUGUUAGAGCUAUAAGGCUUUUGUUUAAGACAGACAAGAUCUUUGACAUUAGAAUCAUAAGGCUCCUGUUUAAAAAUUGCUUAAGAUGUUUCUCAGAUCCUGAAUUCCAGCAAAACAGAUGGUACUAACAAGUUUGAAGACCCCCAUAGAGGAAUGGAAUCAGUAUGAGAACACAGUUUCUUCAUCUCCCCGUCCCAGAACUUCACCCUGGACUCCUCGACCAAUCAACAAUCUCCACACUUCGGCCCACUCCAAAACUCCUAAAAUCCCAAGCCCCAAACUCCUCUGGGAGAUGGAUUUGAGGCUUCCUCCCGUUUCCUUGUGUGGCAGCCCUGUCAUUAAACCUCUUUC
rnacentral:lncRNA from 1 species